GGGCGGAUGGCGAUUGGCUGGUCCGGGUUGCCGGAGCCCGAGCCUGCGUCUUUUGUCUGCCCUGCUCCAGCUGAGGAGCGGCGACGGCUGCGCGCCCCAAGCGAGCCAAUCAGAAGAUAGCCGGCGCCGGCCGAAAUGGAUGAGAAUUUUCUUCUGUGCUCUGAAUAUAGUGGAUGAUCUCAGAGUUCUCUGUGCCAGAAGACUCUGCCUGGAAUUCAGCCAAAAGUUCUUCAUGAUUAAAGGAAUGAACUGUCCAAUGAUUCUCAAGGCAGUGGUGAGUCCUUCUGUGCUUGGUCCUCUUGCAGCUCCACUACUUUGCAUUUUCUGUGGCAGAUUCACCAAAGAACUUACCCCAUCUCCAGUAGUGAUCACAUGCAACAAAUGAUGUUGGCUUCCAGGAGCGAUAAUGCCUUCUGUCCUGUGAGAAGAUUUCCUCUGUGGAAAAUGGGAUCGUAUGUGACAUUUCUGACCAUGAAGAAUCACAUUCUGCCUCCUGGAAUCAAGAGUACUCUCCACAAAAGACAUCUGUGCUGAGGCAGCAAUUACCAUGUGCUUGUCAUCAGAUCAGCACCAGGGUCUUCCCCGGGUGUCUCGGAGCUGCCACUGCCCCUGAACUGAAUGGGGCAUUUACCACACUGUUAUAGAUAGAUCAGCUGACCAUCAUGCACAGGCCCCAAGAGCCUAUCAAUUAGCUCCUGUUCGUUUGUUAGCCCCUGUCCAAACACACAAACAGUCUGGCUCUGGCCCUGCAGUCACAUUAUCAGUCUCCUCCAGCCUCUGGACGAGUGAUAAGACAUGAGCUUGCUGUCCUCCACCAUCCCUCAUCUCCCCUUGGAUAAAGUGUCAGUUAAUUAGCUAAUGUGAGUAAACACGCCUGAAGCCGAUUUAAAAAAAAAAAAAAAAGCUCAGCCAGGCUAUUGUCCUGGGCCCCUCCGAGAAGCCCUGUCCAUCCCUAAGUCUGCCCACAAGAUUCCCCUUCAGCCUCUCAUUCAGAAAGCUACCCAGGGACCAGUGAGGUGGCCCAGCAAGUAACCCAAGCUUGAACACCCCAGUUAGAUACCCAGGGCCCACACAGUGGAAAAAGAAAGCCAACGUGUGCAGUUGUCUUCAGUCCUCCACAUGGUGCUGUGACACGUGUGUGCUAACACGCAAACACAGACAAUAAAUAAUAUAAUAAAGAAAAAUAAAAGCAACUUAGUAGCUUCACAGACUCAGCAUUCCCCCAAAUUAUCAAAUGGUGGAUGAUCUUUGAUUUCUUCUUGGAGGUAAACAGACCAUUUACCAUGUCAACCACCUUUUUUAAAUGAACCGUGAGGGAGUCAUCCCUCCUGCUGAGUGUACGCCCAGCACUAAUACCAAGCCCACCAUCUCUCCAUCCAAGUUCUGAAAGCUAUAAGAAAUCUCUGUUAAGAAAGCUGAUCUCUGGGAGGCAGAGGCAGGCGGAUUUCUGAGUUCAAGGCCAGCCUGGUCUAAAGAGUGAGUUCCAGAGCUACACAGAGAAACUCUGUCUCGGAAAAAAAAAAGAAGAAAGCUGAUCCCCAAAGGGAGUCAUAAUGGCUAAAAUGCCUCUAACACACCCAAACCUACAGAAAUUCCCUGCAAUUUGUCCAGUGUCAAAACAGGAAGUGCCCAAGACAGACACAUGCCUGCCCUCUACCUCCGGUCUCCACCACACCCCAGGUGUGUCUGUGGGAUAGAAUUGAUAGAGGCUCUACCCUAAAGCCCAGUCUCAUUGGGCAGCACUUGGGCAAUUCUCCGUGCUCCUUGAGGGUCCUCAGGGAGGAGCUGCAGCAUCCAUCCCCUGCAUCCUGUUCUCCUCUGCGUUUGUAUCCCUAAGGCCUCAGCAGCAUUCAGCUUUUACAGGUUCCUGGAUUGUCCCACUCCAAUCCUUCCCCUCCCCCACCCCAGCUGCAGCCGGAGGGAUCACUUGAAGACAUAAUUAUGACUCCGUUGCUUCCUGCCUAAAAGUGUUUGAUGGCACAGAGUAAAUCCAAACUGCCUGCCUUUGCAGUCCGGCCCCUGCUGACCAUCUUAGGCUGUUCCCCUUUCCUCCACUGUGACUUGUGCUCACGGUGCCUGCCUCACACCAUUU